rnacentral:rRNA from 1 species
CAGCAGCGCGGGAAUACGUAGGGUGCAAGCGUUAAUCGGAAUUACUGGGCGUAAAGCGUGCGCAGGCGGUUAUAUAAGACAGAUGUGAAAUCCCCGGGCUCAACCUGGGAACUGCAUUUGUGACUGUAUAGCUAGAGUACGGCAGAGGGGGAUGGAAUUCCGCGUGUAGCAGUGAAAUGCGUAGAUAUGCGGAGGAACACCGAUGGCGAAGGCAAUCCCCUGGGCCUGUACUGACGCUCAUGCACGAAAGCGUGGGGAGCAAACAGGAUUAGAUACCCCUGUAGUCCCUGUCUCUUAUACA